AGUGAACGCUGGCGGUAGGCCUAACACAUGCAAGUCGAACGGCAGCACAGUAAGAGCUUGCUCUUACGGGUGGCGAGUGGCGGACGGGUGAGGAAUACAUCGGAAUCUACUUUUUCGUGGGGGAUAACGUAGGGAAACUUACGCUAAUACCGCAUACGACCUACGGGUGAAAGCAGGGGAUCUUCGGACCUUGCGCGAUUGAAUGAGCCGAUGUCGGAUUAGCUAGUUGGCGGGGUAAAGGCCCACCAAGGCGACGAUCCGUAGCUGGUCUGAGAGGAUGAUCAGCAACACUGGACCUGAGACACGGUCCAGACUCCUACGGGAGGCAGCAGUGGGGAAUAUUGGACAAUGGGCGCAAGCCUGAUCCAGCCAUACCGCGUGGGUGAAGAAGGCCUUCGGGUUGUAAAGCCCUUUUGUUGGGAAAGAAAAGCAGCAGGUUAAUACCCCGCUGUUCUGACGGUACCCAAAGAAUAAGCACCGGCUAACUUCGUG
rnacentral:rRNA from 1 species